GGGCGGUUAGCUCAGCUGGUAGAGCAGCGGACUUUUAAUCCGUUGGUCGGGGGUUCGAAUCCCCCACCGCCUACCA
rnacentral:tRNA from 1 species